UGAUGUUGAUGUUGUUACAGGGUGGUUAAGCUUCACCAGUGGCCUCCUUCCCGAGGCAAUUCCCUGCUCUCCCCUGCUAGAGGGGCACCCUAAGCCAUUCACCCCAUCCGACUUCAGAGUGUACUCUUUGAGUUUGGCAACUCACCACCAGCAUCCAACCAAAUCUAGCGGAUCAACGGCGCGUCAACUUAGUUCCUGGUCGGCUCGCGAGUUGAUUUUAUCACGUCCUACACCGUCCACAAGAUGGGGGGCCACCUCCCAUUUCAUCACCUCUCAAACACCCCGAGAGGUCGGCAGGCGGAUUUGAACCCAGACGCGCCGGGACGCGUCGGGAGCAGAAGCCAGGCCUUAACCUCUGCCGUUGUUGUAUGCCACGAAUGCUACCUGCCGCGGAACACCUGGCCCCCUAGCUGAUCCACCGGAUCCUGGCUUGCUGCCGCUAGCUCCGCUGCCACUGUUGUUGUAGCCACCCUUAUAUCCAGAAAUUGACGACUGCUUGAGCGCUUUAAGCUGCCUGCAGUUCUUUAUCACAUGCCCAGGCUUAUUACAGUAGUAGGCCCCGUACCUACAUUAACCCUAUCUAUUCUAGGGACAGCGAUUCAGACGACGAAAUCAUGCAGAACCUUUACCCCACCCUCGACCCGUUCCAGCACAACGGGUUGGAUGACUUCCUCACUAAGGUUUUCCAGCAAGGAGUUGCCUACCCUCUCACUAGGAACAACUUAUCUGUUGAGAGCCUCAAAUCGUACCUUGACGCACUGCCUGGUCGUAACACGCCAUUCGAGGCGUUAGGGUUUUAGGGUUUUAAACCCUAAAACCCUACAACUCCCACACACAUGACCUCAUAGCCAAAGCUGCAUCGCACUUCAGAGUAGCUGAACCAGGUUCGGCGGCCAACGCCAUCUCUCCCCGCCAACUAUACGACUACUACGCCCACAUUUUAGAGGAAAACUUUGCCUCCGCGCGCGCGGAAAGUGAUCUAGCGCGCUUCAAAAGCAUUCAGCAGGGAGCUCUUUCUCCGAUAGUCCUUAGGGAUAUGCUGUUAGCGCUUGAGAAGAAGCUAGACGGCAGAGUGAGCAAACACCAGGUCGCGGAACGCUUUCUUGAGGGCUUAAAUCCCAUGGUUCGGCAUCACCUGGAAAGGCACCUCAUUACCGUGGGCGUACCAAGUGGUACGAUCGCUUGGAGAAGACGGCACAAGAGGCUGAGGUUGUGUGAAACAACCUUCCGUUGGAGGACAGAGCAGUGCAGGUACACAAAAAGUCGCCGCAGCAGAAGAGUGUAGCAAAACCGCCUAUCAAGGAAAAACGCACCUUCUACUGCGAGAAGCACGGCACCAAUGCAUCUCACGAUACGGCGCAGUGCCGUGUCUUAAAUCCCCCAAAGACGAAGUCGGCGCUUUUGACCUCUGACAUCCCCUCCGGUAUUGUUGAGCGUUUGAUUGCCUUGAUUUCUCAGGGACAGGGCAGCGCGUCGACUUCAGGGGGGUCCAGGGGAAUGGGCGGGCAAAAGCUCAAGGGGGCUGGGCCAUCUAAGCCCAAGCAGGGACAGGGUGCUAGCGAAUCGCGGGGGAAUAGGCCAUCUUGCGAGUUCUGCGGAACCAUGGGUCACCAGCAGAGCAAGUGCUUCGUUUUCCACCCCGAGCUCGCUCCCGCGGACUACGAGCCUGCUAACCCUGCCCUGAAGGUUUUUUUUCUGCAGCGCAAGAAGGCGGUUGAAAGAAAGGCGGCCUUGGCGGCGGCUGUUGCCGCAGCUUUCGAGGACGACUUCGCAGCAGACGACGAGGGGAAUGAGGAGGCGGCCUGCUGCACGACGCAGUUCCAUGAAGCAGCGUCGAACGCCUCUCCCAGCCAGCAGGCCAGGAUGGCGCCGCUCACAUGGACGCGCAGCGCACAAGAGGUAAGGUACAACAGCUUAGCCACUAUGCAUUCGCAGGCUGUUCCUAAGUCCUUCACUCCCGCCCCUUCAGUCAUAAAGCAAUAUCCGCCACCGACACCACCCGUGGCGAACAACUCAAAACGCACUCACACACCGCUAGAUGACAAUCUUCUCUUGCGUAAAAUUUCCGACAUGCCUGUCGGCACUUUCUUUAACCUGCUUUGCCAACAGGGUUGCCUUCCACCGGCGGCCCCCUAGACGCUAAACCCCAUCCCUCAAGUACGGUCCAUGCAACGCAGGGUUCCAGCUCAGUUUCGAGCAGCUUUGGGGAGGGAUCUUUCACACCUUAGGCCGACAAGAGUGUGCAGCGCGCCAUUGUUCCGGCGGCAGCACCGGAGCUGGUCACGCCAUCUCCACUUGAUUCUGGCCUGGCGUCUUCUGCCCUGGCGGCCCAAGGGCGCGCCAAACCCUCCGACCACCUUGGCGCCGGUUUUGAGUAACAGGUAAGUGGGGUUAGUUCCGCGCACUUUGUUGGAGCUCUCGCCUGAUGAGCAGGAGCAGGCUUUAGCUGUUAAUCCGUCGGCGGCGCGUUACAUGGGGGAGCCCGAGGGCCUUUACUACUACGAAACGGGGGCGUGUGGAUUGGUUCAGGGGCAGGGUUUUAGGGACGACAGGGCAGCUCCGGAGGCGUUGCGUGAUUUUGCCGCAACGGUAAACGUAAUGCCAAACAGUUCGGUUCCACUUUCCUUUUCCUUCUUACGUAUGCCACUUUCUUUGUGGACGCAUUUAACGUGUGUCUUGUUAGCCCCGUUCUCACGGCGGCUGAUGCCAUCCUUUCGCAUACGGCAAACAAUUUAAUAAAUCACGCGUGCCUUGCCACACGACCCAUGCCUCUUCGCGCCACCCAGGAAAGCGAAAGAAGCCACUGUAUAGGCGUAGGUGUUUGUUAGGUAAACCCGCAUUACAGCCACGUAGCGACUGGCACUUUGCUUCGUUUGCUCUCGUUGCGUCCCUGUUGCUAACUCUAGCCGCAGGAGUGCAGGUGCCAACUGGGAUCAGCAGCUGGCUUACAUCAUGUUGGGUUACAACUGUUCGAAGCAGCAGUCUACUGGUUUCAGCCCAUACAGUCUGCUCCACGGAGUUCAGCCUACAAUAUCACCCGCGGUGAAGCAGCGCUUUGAGGAUGACAUCUCCUUCGAUUCGCUGGAGGAGGCUUUUGAUGCUCUCCUUAAGCGUGGCGAGGCUAUGCGUCGUAGCAUGAGUAUUGCAGGGGAAAAUUUACUUAUCGCCCAGCACAGGGAUACGUUACGAUAUGCAGCUUUGCGUGGUGGGGGUAACCAUCCUAGGUGGUGCAGGUUUGAUGUAGGGAAUUACGUUUAUUAUCGUAAUACUGUUGAGGAAACGGUCCUCUCCCAACUCGUGAGGUUGUCGACCAGGGGAUUUGACCCCGGGUCUGCGCCUGUCUAAUGGGGAAGACUUACCCCAGAACCUUAUGGGGCUACCGAUGCAUAUCCGGUAGCUAAGUGAUAGACAUUAGGGCACCGUCUGGACGACGCAGUGAGAUCGCGGAAUGUACGUGCAGUUAGAUCGCGGAAUGUACGAGUUUUCCGCUAGCGCCGGUAUUUAGGGCGGUGACUGCGCUUAUUUGUUUAUCUCACAACGAUCGGUAUUCCUACCAGGAAUCUCCUCAAGUCCUGCCGAACGCUAACAAUACUCUUUACAUUACUUGUAACAGUUUAUCGUGCUAAAUAUCUUCGUCACCGGCAAUCCUUCCGAAAUAACAAUCAGCGUUAGCCGUCACCGUCGCCAAUUCUUCAAUAGGUUAUGAGCCCCGUUUAGCGCCGACAGUUAUCGCCCCAUUGUUAUUUCUAUCCCUCAUCAACAAUGGUUAAGGACAAGCUUGAUGAGUCGCUGGAUCUCAACAACUACUCUACCUGGCAAAUUCGGUUCAGCGCGUUGUGCAUGGAGCUUGGGCUUGAGCAAUCCCUGCUCGCCGAGCCGUGCAACGAGGAGCAAAUUCGGCAGUCACGGAAGGUCAUCAAUCUGCUCAUCAAGAACGUCAAGGAUCAUCAUUUGCCGAUGGUUACCGGUGCUGCCAACGCGAAGAAGGCCUGGGACGCCUUGGGAUCUAUGUUUGCUGCCAACAACAACGCCCGCAAGGUGUCUCUACGUCAAGAAUUCAGCCGUUUUAAGAUGGUCGACGGCGAACCUCUUCCGAUGUACUUUGCGCGUGCAAGGCAGCUGCAAACAGAUUUAUUGGGAGUCGGCCACGUAGUUAACGACUCCGAGCUGGCGUACACCGUGCUAGUUGGUCUACCCAGUCGGUACAGCGUGGUGACGACUACAUUACUUAUGCGCGACGGCGAUUUGGACAUGGCGAGCGUCACAGCAAAGCUUCUCUCUAUCGAGACGGCUAACGGUGGGUCGGGCAAGCCUACCGAGUCGGCAGCCUUCGCGUCUGUUGGCGGUUCGACGUUCGGCGCUUCUACUUCUGGUUAUGGUAGCCGGGGGCCGGCUAACAACAGCUCGGGACAUAGUCGGAAGCAAGUCAUCUGCUACUACUGUAAUAAACCUGGGCACGUGGUUAAGGACUGCAGACAGCUUAAGGCGCUGAAGCAGUCGUCAAAUUCUGGCUACAAGGGUGGCUACAGCAACAGUGGUAACGGAGGUAGUGGCAGCGGAGCUAGCGGCAGCAAGCCAGGAUCCGGUGGAUCAGCUAGGAGGCCAGGAGUUCCGCGGCAGGUAGCAUUCGUGGCAUACAACAGCAAUCGUCCGACGGAAUGGUUUCUGGACUCAGCCGCCACUCACCACAUAACUUAUGACCGCUCAGAACUUUUCAACAUGCGGUUGUUGGAGCCGUGGGAGCGCUUCAACAUCAUGGGCAUCAAGGGACAAUCUCUUCGACCGACUGAAGUUGGCACGCUCACGAUUCGGUCUAACGUCAACGAUAAACAGGCCAUCACUUUCAAGAAGGUCUACGUCGACGAGGAGGCCACCGCCAAAAUCAUAUCGGUACGCAUCAUUGAUGAUCGUGGAGGCAGUGUGGUCUUCGAUGGCGGACAGGCGAAAGUAUACGUACAGAACCAGUUGGUGCUGACUGGAAAGCGGGAUGGGGACUUGUAUCCCGUCUGCUACAGCAGUGGAGGUACGGGAGCUCUGAAGAGGACGCAGCAUGAUGACAACAGGAUACCUUCUGGUGGUGAUGCAGUGUGUGCUGCCGUGGGUAUCGGAGCUGAACGUGCAGCACUUUGGCACCGAAGGUAUGGCCACUUGGGAUACAGCAACCUUGAGACGUUGCUGCGUCAUAAUAUGGUAGCUGGAUUUGAUGUUGACCGACACAGCAUACAAUCAGCCAGCACGUGUGUGUGUGAGACUUGCGUCCUUGCUAAACAUACACGUGGUCCUUUUCCGUUAUCUGGGCAAAAGGCAGCGCAGCCUCUCGCGCUAAUUCACAUGGAUGUGUGUGGGCCUAUGCCUGAACCUUCACCUAGUGGUUCACGUUACGUGACAACUCUGCUUGACGAUCAUACUGGUCUUUCAGCUGUUGCGUUUACAGCGACCAAGGAGGAGGUCUACCAGAAGAUGGUGGUAAUGAUAGCGGAACUGGAGCGCGCUACUGGCAGGCAGGUUAAGGAGGUGCGUACAGAUCGUGGCGGGGAGUUCGUUAAUAUUCGCACGAAGGCCUAUUUCGCUUCCAGGGGUAUUCUACACGGAACUACGGUAGGCUACACCCCUGAGCAGAACGGAGCUGCAGAACGUUUAAAUCGCACUCUUUUGGACAAGACUAGGGCUAUGCUAGUUGAGUCUGGACUGCCUAAAUCAUUAUGGGCGGAGGCGUUAGCGACAGCCAACUAUCUUAGGAAUGUGUCGCCAACUGCUGGGUCAACCGUCACUCCGUACGAAGCUUUCUUUAACGUUCGUCCGAACGUCAGUCACCUGCGAGUCUUUGGAUGCGUUGCCUACGUCCACGUACCCGAUGUCAAGCGCGACAAGUUCGACCCGGUGAGCAGGCGUGGAAUACUUGUCGGAUACGGGAACGGUGGACAGUAUCGUGUACUAUACGAGGACGGCAUUAUUGCCGUAGUUUCUAACGUUCGUUUUGACGAGUCUAAUGUCGGCCGGCGGCGUAAUGCCGGGGACUCCGAUUAUGAGUCCGAUGCCGACGAGGAGGAGGAGUUUCGCACUAGUUUAUCUGGUGAGGGAUCGCUGCCUAGGGCUGGCGAAGGGACACCAGGUAGCACCGUCGGCGAGGGAUCGCCGCAUUUGGGUGGCGAGGGGGCGCCGGCUGGGGCUGGACCUUCCAGCAGUGCGAACGGGCAAGGAAUCAAUCAGCCUGAUGUGGAAAUGGCGGGAACUAGGUACCCAGUUAGAGAGCGUAAACGCCCUGGCGAAUGGUGGCGAAACGAACCUGGUCGCACUGUCACUGGUCGCGUUAACGCUGCUUUCUCUGCUGGUAUUCCUGAGCCUAAUUCGUUUGAGGAAGCAAUUGCUAGUCCACAUGCAGACGACUGGAGGCGUGCGAUGGACGAGGAGAUCGCCGCCCAGAUGGCUAACAGUACUUGGGAGCUGAAGACGCCACCUCCUGGUACUCGUUUGUUGCCGUGUCGUUGGGUAUAUAAGGUUAAGUACAGCGAUGACGGCAGUGUGGAGCGUUUUAAGGCGCGUUUAGUUGCCAAGGGUUUCGAGCAACGUGAGGAGAUUGAUUAUGGGGAGUUGUUUGCCCCUACCUCUCGUGGUUCGUCAUUGCGUGCUUUAUUAGCAGUUGCCGCAGCCCGGAACAUGACAGUACAUCAGCUCGAUGUGUCUACUGCGUUUCUGAAUGGUGAGCUGAAGGAGGAGUUGUGGAUGGAGCAACCGCCUGGGUAUGCAUCCAGUCUGGUCUGGGUUGACACUACUGCGAUUCGCGGUUUAAGGUCCUGGGUUCGAUUCCUGGGGAGACCCCCGAAUUAGUCGGGAGCGCGAGAUUAUGGCUAGCUGCUGAAAUGUGGAGUUGAGGUCGCAGUUGAUGGACCAGAUUCGCACGCUAGAUUGGUGGCGAUUGCCGAACCCUCCGUCUCUUCGGGUGUUCGGGUGAAUGGAUGAGGAGGGGUCCUAGACGGCUGGACCCGCCGCCUUGGACUUACAGUUCGUAUGGCGAAGUAUAGUGUGGUAGUGGUGGACGGUGCUAUAAGAUGAUACAUCGUAGAACUGACAAUGUGAUAAAACGGCCCAGAAGCCCCCCACUCUGUAACAUUACAUUACAUUGCAUCCAGUGACCGGUCGCUUGCGUGCAAGCUGCAGAAGUCUAUUUACGGUUUAAAGCAGGCACCCCGUUGCUGGUAUGAAAAACUAUCAGCAGGGUUCGCCAAGUUGGGUCUUUAUCCUUCGAAGUCUGAUCCGGCGAUGUUUGUUAAGACGGACGAGCGUGGGGUUGUUAUUGCUUUGGUGCACGUAGAUGAUACAAUUGUUGCGUCGGAAGACCCGGAAAUGGUCCGGGCAAUUAAAACCGCAAUUGCGAAGGUCUUCAAGGUGCGCGACCUUGGAGAAGCGAAGGUGUUUUUGGGCAUGGAAAUUAGGAGGGAGAAGUCGGGUGAGAUAGUGUUGUCGCAGCAUAGGUAUAUUGCGCAGCUGUUGGAGCGUCAUAGGAUGAUUGACGCCAAGCCGAGGUCUACCCCUUUGCCUCCGGGCUUUAGGUACACUCCUAAGGGGGACGAAGAGGAGCUGCUGGGCAAUCCCACCGAGUAUAGGGCUUUGGUGGGAGAAUUGAACUAUCUGGCGACGAACACGCGGCCUGACAUUUCAUAUGCAUUGAGCGUUUUGUCCCGGCAUAUGGCCGCACCCACGAAGUGUGCCAUGAACCUGGCAACUGGCGUUCUGCGUUACCUGGCGGGGACUCGCGAACUAGGAUUGCGUUUUGGGGGUGUUGGCGACGUUGCUAUGUCCGGGUACAGUGAUUCUGACUGGGCAGGAGACCCAGUUACGCGGCGUUCUACGUCCGGUUACGUUUUCACUCUUAAUGGGGCUGCGAUUAGCUGGAGCAGCCAACUCAACGUACUGUGGCGGCUUCAUCGGUGGAGGCCGAGUAUCAAGCGACAGCGGCAGCUGUUCGUGAGGCUUUGUGGCUUCGCUUGUGGUUGAUUUGGGUUUGCCUGAGAGCGCUAUCAAGAUCCAAAUAGAUUCCCAAGGGGCGCUUAGCUUAGGAAAUAACCCGAUUACGUCUGCUCGGUCGAAGCACAUCGACGUGCAGCAUCACAUAGUGCGUGAAAGGGUGAAUAGCGGUGAGGUGCAGUUGGAGUACUGCCCUACGGAGUGGAUGGUUGCGGAUGUACUAACGAAGGCUCUGGGCGAGGUGAAGUUCAAACGUUGCCGAGAUGCUAUGGGCCUUGUCUGAAGUGUGCAGAUGAACUUGGUACUCGUUGGGAUACGGCCCGAGGGGGCGUGUUAAGGAAACGGUCCUCUCCCAACUCGUGUGGUUGUCGACCAGGGGAUUUGACCCCGGGUCUACGCCUGACUAAUGGGGAAGACUUACCCCAGAACCUUAUGGGGCUACCGAUGCAUAUCCGGUAGCUAAGUGAUAGACAUUAGGGCACCGUCUGGACGGCGCAGUGAGAUCGCGGAAUGUACGUGCAGUUAGAUCGCGGAAUGUACGAGUUUUCCGCUAGCGCCGGUAUUUAGGACGGUGACUGCGCCUAUUAGUUUAUCUCACAACGAUCGGUAUUCCUACUAGGAAUCUCCUCAAGUCCUGCCGAACGUUAACAAUACUCUUUACAUUACUUGUAACAGUUUAUCGUGCUAAAUAUCUUCGCCACCGGCAAUCCUUCCGAAAUAACAAUCAGCGUUAGCCGUCACCGUCGCCAAUUCUUCAAUACUAGUUCGCGUACGGCGUUAGAUCAUAAGGUUCAACCUGCCGUACUUCGCGUUAGUGAGGUGCGUCCCAGCGGCGUACUUGUUCUGCAAGGUCNNNNNNNNNNNNNNNNNNNNNNNNNNNNNNNNNNNNNNNNNNNNNNNNNNAGAUGGCUAACAGUACUUGGGAGCUGAAGACGCCACCUCCUGGUACUCGUUUGUUGCCGUGUCGUUGGGUAUAUAAGGUUAAGUACAGCGAUGACGGCAGUGUGGAGCGUUUUAAGGCGCGUUUAGUUGCCAAGGGUUUCGAGCAACGUGAGGAGAUUGAUUAUGGGGAGUUGUUUGCCCCUACCUCUCGUGGUUCGUCAUUGCGUGCUUUAUUAGCAGUUGCCGCAGCCCGGAACAUGACAGUACAUCAGCUCGAUGUGUCUACUGCGUUUCUGAAUGGUGAGCUGAAGGAGGAGUUGUGGAUGGAGCAACCGCCUGGGUAUGCAUCCAGUCUGGUCUGGGUUGACACUACUGCGAUUCGCGGUUUAAGGUCCUGGGUUCGAUUCCUGGGGAGACCCCCGAAUUAGUCGGGAGCGCGAGAUUAUGGCUAGCUGCUGAAAUGUGGAGUUGAGGUCGCAGUUGAUGGACCAGAUUCGCACGCUAGAUUGGUGGCGAUUGCCGAACCCUCCGUCUCUUCGGGUGUUCGGGUGAAUGGAUGAGGAGGGGUCCUAGACGGCUGGACCCGCCGCCUUGGACUUACAGUUCGUAUGGCGAAGUAUAGUGUGGUAGUGGUGGACGGUGCUAUAAGAUGAUACAUCGUAGAACUGACAAUGUGAUAAAACGGCCCAGAAGCCCCCCACUCUGUAACAUUACAUUACAUUGCAUCCAGUGACCGGUCGCUUGCGUGCAAGCUGCAGAAGUCUAUUUACGGUUUAAAGCAGGCACCCCGUUGCUGGUAUGAAAAACUAUCAGCAGGGUUCGCCAAGUUGGGUCUUUAUCCUUCGAAGUCUGAUCCGGCGAUGUUUGUUAAGACGGACGAGCGUGGGGUUGUUAUUGCUUUGGUGCACGUAGAUGAUACAAUUGUUGCGUCGGAAGACCCGGAAAUGGUCCGGGCAAUUAAAACCGCAAUUGCGAAGGUCUUCAAGGUGCGCGACCUUGGAGAAGCGAAGGUGUUUUUGGGCAUGGAAAUUAGGAGGGAGAAGUCGGGUGAGAUAGUGUUGUCGCAGCAUAGGUAUAUUGCGCAGCUGUUGGAGCGUCAUAGGAUGAUUGACGCCAAGCCGAGGUCUACCCCUUUGCCUCCGGGCUUUAGGUACACUCCUAAGGGGGACGAAGAGGAGCUGCUGGGCAAUCCCACCGAGUAUAGGGCUUUGGUGGGAGAAUUGAACUAUCUGGCGACGAACACGCGGCCUGACAUUUCAUAUGCAUUGAGCGUUUUGUCCCGGCAUAUGGCCGCACCCACGAAGUGUGCCAUGAACCUGGCAACUGGCGUUCUGCGUUACCUGGCGGGGACUCGCGAACUAGGAUUGCGUUUUGGGGGUGUUGGCGACGUUGCUAUGUCCGGGUACAGUGAUUCUGACUGGGCAGGAGACCCAGUUACGCGGCGUUCUACGUCCGGUUACGUUUUCACUCUUAAUGGGGCUGCGAUUAGCUGGAGCAGCCAACUCAACGUACUGUGGCGGCUUCAUCGGUGGAGGCCGAGUAUCAAGCGACAGCGGCAGCUGUUCGUGAGGCUUUGUGGCUUCGCUUGUGGUUGAUUUGGGUUUGCCUGAGAGCGCUAUCAAGAUCCAAAUAGAUUCCCAAGGGGCGCUUAGCUUAGGAAAUAACCCGAUUACGUCUGCUCGGUCGAAGCACAUCGACGUGCAGCAUCACAUAGUGCGUGAAAGGGUGAAUAGCGGUGAGGUGCAGUUGGAGUACUGCCCUACGGAGUGGAUGGUUGCGGAUGUACUAACGAAGGCUCUGGGCGAGGUGAAGUUCAAACGUUGCCGAGAUGCUAUGGGCCUUGUCUGAAGUGUGCAGAUGAACUUGGUACUCGUUGGGAUACGGCCCGAGGGGGCGUGUUAAGGAAACGGUCCUCUCCCAACUCGUGUGGUUGUCGACCAGGGGAUUUGACCCCGGGUCUACGCCUGACUAAUGGGGAAGACUUACCCCAGAACCUUAUGGGGCUACCGAUGCAUAUCCGGUAGCUAAGUGAUAGACAUUAGGGCACCGUCUGGACGGCGCAGUGAGAUCGCGGAAUGUACGUGCAGUUAGAUCGCGGAAUGUACGAGUUUUCCGCUAGCGCCGGUAUUUAGGACGGUGACUGCGCCUAUUAGUUUAUCUCACAACGAUCGGUAUUCCUACUAGGAAUCUCCUCAAGUCCUGCCGAACGUUAACAAUACUCUUUACAUUACUUGUAACAGUUUAUCGUGCUAAAUAUCUUCGCCACCGGCAAUCCUUCCGAAAUAACAAUCAGCGUUAGCCGUCACCGUCGCCAAUUCUUCAAUACUAGUUCGCGUACGGCGUUAGAUCAUAAGGUUCAACCUGCCGUACUUCGCGUUAGUGAGGUGCGUCCCAGCGGCGUACUUGUUCUGCAAGGUCAAGACGGUCAAACCAUGCAAACGCAUUUUGAUGCACUGUGCACCUUGUCAUUUGCCCAUUUUAGACGAGGCUAUCGAUCCUCGCUUGUCCCGACCUCAUGCUAAUUUGUCCUGUGAGGUUUGCAAAAUGCCUGAUGCUUCUCUGUGAUAAGUGUGGGACGGGUUGGCACACUUAUUGCCUUAAGCCGCCUCUCAAACAAAUCCCUUGGGUGUGUCCUAAUUGUCUUUCUAAAGGCAUCACCGUAGCACAAAUAAACUCACGAUCUUUAGAUAACUCUGGUAGUAAUUCCAAUAAAUCGAGCACUAAGCCUGUUCCUCCGCAAUAUCUUGCCGAACUACAAGGGUCACGAGUAUUUGGAUCUAAUUCCGGACCCUCUGGCAGUCGUGCCGCGAGAACCGGUGUCGCUACCUAUGCCGGUAAACGAGGCAGGAAGCAUUUCUUCGAGGUGCUUUAUCAGGACGGCGAAUUGGAGCUGGUGGAUGUUGUGCAGCUGCGCAAUAUGCUUGCACCUAAGUCUGCCCGCCCAGGGCGAGCGGUGGGAGUAGCAGCGGUUGCAGCAGCCGCAUUGAAGCUGGAGCACUGGAGUUUGGAUUCAGCCGCGGACGUUCCGAUGGCGCUGGAUCUGGCUAUGGCGGGAGACCACUCAGUAUUCAAGAUAGCUUUGGUCACCAAUCAAUUAUUCGAGCAACGUCUUCUACUUCCGUCCGUACCACAGCGGCAUGUCGACGUGUUGCGAGGAGCGUUGCGUUGGAGCUUACGUAAUUCUGCCUUACGAGGCGCGCGCGUCUUAAAGGAAAGCCGGUAAAAUUCAGUGAUCCCUUGUCGCCUCAGUUUUACGAUGGCGUAGAUAAGCAGUUUACAUCUGUAGACGCAGCAGUGUUGUCAAUUACUGGAGCGUUGUUAGAUUUGGCAAUUCCAGCAGCGAUUAAGUUGGUUAAGGGCUUUGUGGUCGCUAGAGUUCCGGUUAAUCACAUAUCGGGUGCUGAUGAAGCGCGCAUGAAGUGGUUGCGCACUCUGCAGGAUAAGGAUUGUUUGUUGAUGUUGAGUUGUCCUUCCGUUGAGUCUGAGUACCAGUCUUUUAUCUGGCUGAUUGUGUUCACCAAUCCGGUUAUCAAGCGUGUGAUUUUGAAGGAUAGCAGCUUAGCUGAGCAAUUACUUUGAGGGUCCGCUUUCCACGGGCAUUCACCAUCUCGGCUUCGCCCGCUGGGGGGGGAGUCUGCCGUACGCACGUGUUUUGUUCGGUGCUACAGUCGCUACAGUAUGACGCGACAGCUGUCACGACAUUUUAGCGCCACGUUCAUUUUACCGUCUUUCAUAAUCGUCUUAGGUUAUUAUUGGUAUGAUUACGCGAAUUUCGCUAAUCGACUUCUGGACAAGACGCGAAUGUACGCUCGUUUGCGUAUGUUUAUGUAUUUUACUUGUACUGAAUUGUUCAUUUCUUGUGUGAAUGUUCUGUCACACGGUUAUAAGGUGUUUCACUUGUGUCAUUUGUGGACUAUACGUCGUGGUCGUACUCGAGGCUUAUCUUUUGAGGGCCUCCUGUGAUCGACAGUGUGACUUCGGUAUUUAUAGCCACAGCGAGCUUGGAAAAGUCGCUUUUUAUGGCUCUCUUAUGGCCUAUGCCCAUGCAGGAGGCAACGCCCAUCAACGCCCAUCAACGCCCAUAGCCUUCACGCCGGGCACACUCAGAAUGUGUGUGUGUGUGGUUGUUACAGUGGGCUCCAGACUCCCGAAGAGUAGAGCAAUCGGGCCAGCUGGCCGUGCACUGCAGUAGAGACUAAUAUACCAAUAGAGACCAUCACCUCAGAUAAUUAACCGCUCAUCGGUAACCGCUCCCUUGAUCACAGCAAUUUGCCAGAUAUAAUUCUCAAGAAGGGGUGAUGUGCGCCAACAGAAUCCCAACCUUUCCGUGGAAUUCCCAAAGCUGCGAAACCCUGAAUGCGGCCCCAAAAGUCAACAAUAACUCGACAAAUGGCUUCUUCCGAAAGGGAAGGGCCAGGUAACAGUGCCGGGUUGGUUUUCAUGUUUGCAGUGUUGAAGGGCGGUCCUAUCCCAAGAUAGGUAGUUAGGCGAUGAAUCCGCCGUGAUAGGCGAUGCCUCGGACAUGCCUCGACCUUGCCUCGGCCGUGCCUCGACCUUGCCUCGGGUCUCUCGGCCGCGUAUCUUGGACGUGUCCUCAGGUCCAGGGAUGGUGGACGACUGUACGAUACUUCCGUUGGUAUCGGUACAUAAGGCCAGAGUGGUGCAUGUCUUUCUAUCUCAUCUUCGGAUGGAUCGGUAUUCCUUCAUAGGAAUCUCCUAAAGUCUUCUUGCCGUUCACCACUAACCCACAGACUGUAACCCUUAUAUCGCGACCAGUCUACUUGCCUCCUUCAUAUUCUUAACAGGUUAUGAGUCCCGGCUCACGCUAGUAGCUUACAUAGCUAGCGUGAAGAAGGCAUAGGACGCCUGCAAGCAAUUACAGUCGGACUUGUUUGGGAGUGGGACACGUUAGCAGCGAUUCUGAGCGGGCACAGACUUUGCUUGUUGGUUUGCCCAGCCGCUUCAGCAUGGUAACGACAUCCCUACUGGUGCGUGACGGUGAUUCGGACGUGGCUAUCGUCAACUCGAUAUUUUUGACAAUCGAGAUGGCAAGCGAUGGCUCUGGUAAGCCUACCGAGUCGGCAGCUUUUGCUUCUGUCGGCAGUUUUUCGUUUGGCGCCUCUGGUUCUGGUCUUGAGAAUCGUAGCGCGGCCAGCAGCAGUUCUGGCGUUCCUCUCAAAGAGGUGAUUUGCUUCUAUCGCAGCAAGACUGGGCCCGGUGGGUCUAGCAAGGGAUCAGUUUUCCUGGAGCAGGUUGCGUUUGUAGCUUACAUCAGUAAGCGUCUGAGGGAUCCUGGCCGAAUAUGGGAAUGGAGGACAGUAUCGUGUUGUGCACGUCACCAAUGUCCGCCUUGAUGAGUUUAAUGUCGGCCGGCGGCACAAUGCCAGGGAUGCUGAUGAUGGGUCCGAUGCCGACGAGGGUUGCACACUAGGUUGCCUGGUGAGGGGUCGCUGCCUAGGGCUGGCGAAUGGACAUUAGGCAAUACCGUCAACACGGGAUCGCCGCAUCUGGGUGGCGAGGGGGCGCUGGCUGGGGCUGGACCUCCCAGAAGUUGUUAAGACCAGCAAAGCGCCGGACCCCCGUUGGGUCCUAUUACUGUGGCUACCAUUCACUGGUAUAUGAGUGUCGGUCAUUUCCAACACCCCCCCGUGAGCGACACUCUCUCGCUCCGGGCCUUCCCGUGCCUCAUCCCGGUCUCCCAUUCUCUGGGCAACAGCCAGUGGGUAUCGAUCCGGCGACCUCUCGGCAGCGCAAUGCGCCAUUCGGGGCUCAUAACCUGUUAAGACCAGCAAAGCGCCGGACCCCCGUUGGGUCCUAUUACUGUGGCUACCAUUCACUGGUAUAUGAGUGUCGGUCAUUUCCAACAGAAGUGUGAGUGUGCAAGGAAAUACACACAUGUGGAAAUGCUGGGUGCUCGGUAUUCAGUUAGGGAAUGCAAACGUCCUGGCGAGUGUUGAUGAAGUGUACCUGGUCGUAGUGCUACAAGCCGAGUCGUUGCUGCUGGGAUUCAGAACCUAACUUUUAUGCCGAUGGCAUCUCACGCCCACAUGCAGACGACUGGCGGCCGUGUACCGUGAACAUUUUGUAAUUGUAAUUGUAAUUGUAAUGUUACAGAGUGGGAGGCUUCUGGGCCGCUUUAUCACAUUGUCAGUUCUAGAUCAUUUAUCACCUUAUAGCACCUUCCACCACUACCACACUGUACUUCGCCAUACGAACUGUAAGUCCAAGGCGGCGGAUCCAGCAUCCAGGGACCCCUCCUCAUCCAUUCACCCGAACACCCGAAGAGACGGAGGGUUCGGCAAUCGCCACCAAUCCAGCGUGCGAAUCUGGUCCAUCAACUGUGACCUCAACUCCACAUCUCAGCAGCUAGCCAUAAUCUCGCGCUCCCGACUAAUUCGGGGGUCUCCCCAGGAAUCGAACCCAGGACCUUAAACCGCUAAUUGCAGUAGUGUCAACCCAGACCAGAACAUUUUGUAUCCAGUCGACCCAACCGGACAGCGUGGAUUGCAGCAGGCGAUCGUUUGCUACAACUACCAACAGACGGGCCGUAUAGCUCGGAGUUGCAGAGAGAUUAGCUGCCUAACGUGCAGGGAAGGAGUGGAGGUGGUCUUGGCACCCACACGUGGCAGGUGGGGUAGCAUGCCUCAACAGACAGGCGGUGGCGGCAGUGCAGUGAUGCCGUGUAUUUUUUUGCUGCAAGAUACGAACCACUAUGAAUUGUCUGUCUCCGAAGCGGCUAGUAUUGGAGUACCUGAGUCAGGGCCUUUGCCAGCGGCAAGCCACCGCAGGAGUUCAGAAGAAGAGGGCAGGGAAUAUGAGCAGAUAAUGUGGCCUUCGGAGUGGUGUAGUGGUGAUGCAGGAAGGAGGAUAGGAAGUCGCAUUCACUUGGCUGUCAUUGAUCCGAACCCUGCUGAGCUUUUGCUGAGUAUCGACCAGGGGAUUUGACCCCGGGUCUGUGCCUGACUAAUGGGGAAGACUUACCCCAGAACCUUAUGGGCUAAUAUCCGGUAGCUAAGAGAUAGACAUUGGGCACCGUCAGGACGGCGCAGUGAGAUCGCGGAAUGUACGUGCAGUUAGAUCGCGGAAUGUACGAGUUUUCCGCUAGCGCCGGUAUUUAGGGCGGUGACUGCGCUUAUUUGUUUAUCUCACUACGAUCGGUAUUCCUUAAAGGAAUCUCCUCAAGUCCUGCCGAACGCUAAUAAUACUCUUUACAUAACUUGUAACAUUUUAUCGUGCUAAAUAUCUUCGCCACCGGCAAUUCUUCCGAGAUAACAAUCAGCGUUGGCCGUCACCGUCGCCAAUUCUCCAAUAUACGAUAGGGGCACAGGGAUUUAGCGAGUGGGGCCUGCGGUUGGAGGUAUUGAUCCACUAUUUGAUGCCAAGCCUUGCGUAUUGCUAGGCCUGCCGUUGCAUUCAUAACUCCAUCCAAGGCCUCGCGCGCGCGAAGAACAUCCCCCAACGUAUGCAAUGCUUUACAGCCCAGGAGGGCUUGGUGUCGAAAUUCUAGUCCCGGGCGGAUGUUAUCUGACGGGACAUUCAACCUUUUUUCUGGAAGAACAGGGUUUCCCCACAAAGGCAAAUUCCAACACCACGCAUUAGGAACUAACGGGUGAUCAUCAACAUCUUCCACUGGGGGAAGGUAUGCCAACGCUGUCACAAUGCGCUGAACAUCUGGCGGUAAAACGAUUAAUCCAAACCAAGGCACUCCCACCUGGGACGUAAAAAUACACAUAGGAUUGUACUUGGGGUAAAGGCUACGCAGGAAAGAGUGCAUGACCAACACCCAUGGCGGACGCACUAAGACUGGUUGGAGUAAUGCUCUCACAAAACGCACUGCCCAGCACGCCCAUCGCGCUUGUACAUGUUCUCGAACUGCUAAUGCCCCAAAACCGCCCAAAGUUGGAUGGCCAUAUAACAAAUAUUUAGGAAUUCCGGUGAGUCGUCUGUCAUGUGCGACCGGUCCGAGGUUCAAAUCAAUAAGCUUGGCAGCUUUAGCCUCAAUAUUAAUGAGUUUUGCUUCUGGGGGAAAUCCCCCGUGUUCCAUAUGCCACGUAAAACGAUGCAACCCAUAGGCAGCCGCUGCAUGUGCACGCCCAAACAUGGAAUGGUUUAACACAGAAAUGCGUCGAGCCCAGACUUUGUCUAGUUGCACGUCCCAGUCCAUGACUGUGGUGUCCCCCACAUCCGUAAAAGGCAGAUUGAGAGCCGUUGCCCUGUGUACGACCUUCAUGUCAUGAUUUAUUGUGAUAUGAUGUGGGUGGGUGCCGAGAGGUAAAAGCUCAACCUUAUCCAGGUUAAGUUGCUGUCCAGAAGCCUGUGCGCGAGAUUAUGGCUAGCUGCUGAGAUGUGGAGUUGAGGUCACAGUUGAUGGACCAGAUUCGCACGCUGGAUUGGUGGCGAUUGCCGAACCCUCCGUCUCUUCGGGUGUUCGGGUGAAUGGAUGAGGAGGGGUCCCUGAAGGCUGGAUCCGCCGCCUUGGACUUACAGUUCGUAUGGCGAAGACAGUGUGGUAGUGGUGGAUGGUGCUAUAAGGUGAUAAAUGAUCGUAGAACUGACAAUGUGAUAAAGCGGCCCAGAAGCCUCCCACUCUGUAACACAUUACAUUACAUUACAUUACAGAAGCCUGUGCGUACACCCUCAUACAGUCAAGGAAAGCCGGAAUUGCCUGGAUUCUGUUAAGACCAGCAAAGCGCCGGACCCCCCUUGGGUCCUAUUACUGUGGCUACCAUUCACUGGGCGCAAUGCGCCAUUCGGGGCUCAUAACCUGUUAAGACCAGCAAAGCGCCGGACCCCCCUUGGGUCCUAUUACUGUGGCUACCAUUCACUGAGUGUCGGUCAUUUCCAACAGAUUCCUUCUAAAACAACUUCCGUAUCAUCAGCAAAUUGCACAGCAUUUCUGAAUUAUUUUGGGGUAAAUGAAUCCCCACUCGGUUGUACUGUAACCAACAAAGAAACGCCUGCGCGGCAAACAAGUACAGCAACGGUGCCAAUGGACAUCCCUGUCGCACAUCCGCUGUAAGAGCAACUUCACGGGAAAAAAAUCCAUUUACUAACGCUUUCGACGCUGUAUCGGAUAAAAGAAGCUUAGUCCAGCUAAUUAACCCUGCUCCUGCGCCCGUAGCAUCUAUUGCUUCAAAUAAAAAAUUACGAUCUAAGGAAUCGUAAGCUUUAGCAAUAUCCAAAAAAGCCAGGAGACACGACUGGCCUGUCGUCGACAUGAGUUGCGGUAGAUGCCAGAACAUGAGUUGCGGUAGAUGCCAGAACAUUUGCACCUAUCAAGCGCUCCGGCAGAAAAGCAGACUGCUCGAGCGUGAUAGAUAAUUCGCCCUAGUAUUGGACUCAGCCUACGGGUUACAAUUUUGGUGAGAAUCCUGUAAUCUGUAUUCAACAAGGUCAUAACUACCCGGGGAGGUGGGAGACCCCCGAUUUUUAUAAAUAACCGUGAUAGCACCUUGCAAAAAGCCAUCUGGGAGCAUUUGGGUUUGGCCCAUGGCUGUAUAAAGUUGAAAUGGUGCAAUCUCGUUCCGACACACCUUGUAUAAUUCAAUUGGGAUGCCAUGUAGACCGGGCGCUUUGCCUGGCGUCGCUUCCUUGAGCACCGUAUCCACUUCAGCGUCAGACACCUCCGGUCUUCCUACAUGACACGCAUACUCCUCCGGAAUGACAAGGUGGCGGUUCCGCAGCGCCCCUAUAACAGCCAUUCUAGCCUCUUCAGUCACUUGAGUUGGGGAGGAACAAAUCUCUCCCCAAAUAUCCGCAACCAUCUGUGGCAACUUCAUCGUGUCUGUAAUAAGACGACCCGUUCUAUCUUGCAACGCUGAAAUGACUUGUAGAGUCUUAGACGGGUGCACCAGCACCCUCUACUAGGCCGUUCACCCUCACGAAUCCACUGUAACCGAACCCGUUCCGCCUCCUGUGCACCUUCAGCUCUAGCCGCUUGUACAACCGUUACUUGGGCGUCAAUUGCCGCUUGGAUCCUCUGUGCACUCAUAUCUUCGGUCUGCACUUCUUCCAGUGCCCGUGUUGCAUGUUCUAUUGCCAAACGUACUUGCCAUCCCUUGGUACACCCACCGGGCCCAGGCUUGCUGCAAUAGAAGCAAAUCACCUCAUUGUGAGAAACGCCAGAACUGCUGCUGGCCGCGCCACCAUUCCCAAGACCAGAACCAGAGGCGCCAAACGAAAAAACUGCCGACAGAAGCAAAAGCUGCCGACAGAAGCAAAAGCUGCCGACAAACCAACAAGCAAAGUGUGUGCCCACUCAGAAUCGCUGAUAACGUGUCCUACUCCCAAACAAGUCCGACAGUCAUUGCUUGCAGGCGUCCUAUGCCUUCUCCGCGCUAGCAAUGUCUGCUACUGGCGUUAUCCAUGUUGAGGAAACGGUCCUCUCUCAACUCGUGUGGUUGUCGACCAGGGGAUUUCACCCCGGGUCUGCGUCUGACUAAUGGGGAAGACUUACCCCAGAACCUUAUGGGGCUACCGAUGGAUAUCCGGUAGCUAAGUGAUAGACAUUUGGGCACCGUCAGGACGGCGCAGUGAGAUCGCGGAAUGUACGUGCAGUUAGAUCGCGGAAUGUACGAGUUUUCCGCUUGCGCCGGUAUUUAGGGUGGUGACUGCGCUUAUUUGUUUAUCUGUUGAGGAAACGGUCCUCUCCCAACUCGUGUGGUUGUCGACCAGGGGAUUUGACCCCGGGUCUGCGUCUGACUAAUGGGGAAGACUUACCCCAGAACCUUAUGGGGCUACCGAUGCAUAUCCGGUAGCUUAGUGAUAGACAUUAGGGCACCGUCUGGACGGCGCAGUGAGAUCGCGGAAUGUACGUGUUUUCCGCUAGCGCCGGUAUUUAGGGCGGUGACUGCGCCUAUUAGUUUAUCUCACAACGAUCGGUAUUCCUACCAGGAAUCUCCUCAAGUCCUGCCGAACGCUAACAAUACUCUUUACAUUUCUUGUAACAGUUUAUCGUGCCAAAUAUCUUCGCCACCGGCAAUCCUUCCGAAAUAACAAUCAGCGUUAGCCGUCACCGUCGCCAAUUCUUCAAUAGGUUAUGAGCCCCGCUUAGCGCCGACAGUUAUCGCCCAAUUGUUAUUUCUAUCCCUCAUCAACAAUGGUUAAGGACAAGCUUGAUGAGUCGCUGGAUCUCAACAACUACUCUACCUGGCAAAUUCGGUUCAGCGCGUUGUGCAUGGAGCUUGGGCUUGAGCAAUCCCUGCUCGCCGAGCCGUGCAACGAGGAGCAAAUUCGGCAGUCACGGAAGGUCAUCAAUCUGCUCAUCAAGAACGUCAAGGAUCAUCAUUUGCCGAUGGUUACCGGUGCUGCCAACGCGAAGAAGGCCUGGGACGCCUUGGGAUCUAUGUUUGCUGCCAACAACAAUGCCCGCAAGGUGUCUCUACGUCAAGAAUUCAGCCGUUUUAAGAUGGUCGACGGCGAACCUCUUCCGAUGUACUUUGCGCGUGCAAGGCAGCUGCAAACAGAUUUAUUGGGAGUCGGCCACGUAGUUAACGACUCCGAGCUGGCGUACACCGUGCUAGUUGGUCUACCCAGUCGGUACAGCGUGGUGACGACUACAUUACUUAUGCGCGACGGCGAUUUGGACAUGGCGAGCGUCACAGCAAAGCUUCUCUCUAUCGAGACGGCUAACGGUGGGUCGGGCAAGCCUACCGAGUCGGCAGCCUUCGCGUCUGUCGGCGGUUCGACGUUCGGCGCUUCUACUUCUGGUUAUGGUAGCCGGGGGCCGGCUAACAACAGCUCGGGACAUAGUCGGAAGCAAGUCAUCUGCUACUACUGUAAUAAACCUGGGCACGUGGUUAAGGACUGCAGGCAGCUUAAGGCGCUGAAGCAGUCGUCAAAUUCUGGCUACAAGGGUGGCUACAGCAACAGUGGCAGCGGAGCUAGUGGCAGCGGAGCUAGUGGCAGCGGAGCUAGCGGCAACAAGCCAGGAUCCGGUGGAUCAGCUAGGAGGCCAGGAGUUCCGCGGCAGGUAGCAUUCGUGGCAUACAACAGCAAUCGUCCGACGGAAUGGUUUCUGGACUCAGCCGCCACUCACCACAUAACGUAUGACCGCUCAGAACUUUUCAACGUGCGGUUGUUGGAGCCGUGGGAGCGCUUCAACAUCAUGGGCAUCAAGGGACAAUCUCUUCGACCGACUGAAGUUGGCACGCUUACGAUUCGGUCUAACGUCAACGAUAAACAGGCCAUCAAUUUCAAGAAGGUCUACGUCGACGAGGAGGCCACCGCCAAAAUCAUAUCGGUACGCAUCAUUGAUGAUCGUGGAGGCAGUGUAGUCUUCGGCGGCGGACAGGCGAAAGUAUACGUACAGAACCAGUUGGUGCUGACUGGAAAGCGGGAUGGGGACUUGUAUCCCGUCUGCUACAGCAGUGGAGGUACGGGAGCUCUGAAGAGGACGCAGCGUGAAGACAACAGGAUACCUUCUGGUGGUGAUGCAGUGUGUGCUGCCGUGGGUAUCGGAGCUGAACGUGCAGCACUUUGGCACCGAAGGUAUGGCCACUUGGGAUACAGCAACCUUGAGACGUUGCUGUGUCAUAAUAUGGUAGCUGGAUUUGAUGUUGACCGACACAGCAUACAAUCAGCCAGCACAUGUGUGUGUGAGACUUGCGUCCUUGCUAAACAUACACGUGGUCCUUUUCCGUUAUCUGGGCAUAAGGCAGCGCAGCCUCUCGCGCUCAUUCACAUGGAUGUGUGUGGGCCUAUGCCUGAACCUUCGCCUAGUGGUUCGCGUUACGUGACAACCCUGCUUGACGACCAUACUGGUCUUUCAGCUGUUGCGUUUACAGCGACCAAGGAGGAGGUCUACCAGAAGAUGGUGGUAAUGAUAGCGGAACUGGAGCGCGCUACUGGCAGGCAGGUUAAGGAGGUGCGUACAGAUCGUGGCGGGGAGUUCGUUAAUACUCGCACGAAGGCCUAUUUCGCUUCCAGGGGUAUUCUACACGGAACUACGGUAGGCUACACCCCUGAGCAGAACGGAGCUGCAGAACGUUUAAAUCGCACUCUUUUGGACAAGACUAGGGCUAUGCUAGUUGAGUCUGGACUGCCUAAAUCAUUAUGGGCGGAGGCGUUAGCGACAGCCAACUAUCUUAGGAAUGUGUCGCCAACUGCUGGGUCAACCGUCACUCCGUAUGAAGCUUUCUUUAAUGUUCGUCCGAACGUCAGUCACCUGCGAGUCUUUGGAUGCGUUGCCUACGUCCACGUACCCGACGUCAAGCGCGACAAGUUCGACCCGGUGAGCAGGCGUGGAAUACUUGUCGGAUACGGGAACGGUGGACAGUAUCGUGUACUAUACGAGGACGGCAUUAUUGCCGUAGUUUCUAACGUUCGUUUUGACGAGUCUAAUGUCGGCCGGCGGCGUAAUGCCGGGGACUCCGAUUAUGAGUCCGAUGCCGACGAGGAGGAGGAGUUUCGCACUAGUUUAUCUGGUGAGGGAUCGCUGCCUAGGGCUGGCGAAGGGACACCAGGUAGCACCGUCGGCGAGGGAUCGCCGCAUUUGGGUGGCGAGGGGGCGCCGGCUGGGGCCAGCCCUUCUGGGUCCAGACCUUCCAGCAGUGCGAACGGGCAAGGAAUCAAUCAGCCUGAUGUGGAAAUGGCGGGAACUAGGUACCCAGUUAGAGAGCGUAAACGCCCUGGCGAAUGGUGGCGAAACGAACCUGGUCGCACUGUCACUGGUCGCGUUAACGCUGCUUUCUCUGCUGGUAUUCCUGAGCCUAAUUCGUUUGAGGAAGCAAUUGCAAGUCCACAUGCAGACGACUGGCGGCGUGCGAUGGACGAGGAGAUCGCCGCCCAGAUGGCUAAUAGUACUUGGGAGCUGAAGAAGCCACCUCCUGGUACUCGUUUGUUGCCGUGUCGUUGGGUAUAUAAGGUUAAGUACAGCGAUGACGGCAGCGUGGAGCGUUUUAAGGCGCGUUUAGUUGCCAAGGGUUUCGAGCAACGUGAGGGGAUUGAUUAUGGGGAGUUGUUUGCCCCUACCUCUCGUGGUUCGUCAUUGCGUGCUUUAUUAGCAGUUGCCGCAGCCCGGAACAUGACGGUACAUCAGCUCGAUGUGUCUACUGCGUUUCUGAAUGGUGAGCUGAAGGAGGAGUUGUGGAUGGAGCAACCGCCUGGGUAUGCAUCCAGUGACCGGUCGCUUGCGUGCAAGCUGCAGAAGUCUAUUUACGGUUUGAAGCAGGCACCCCGUUGCUGGUAUGAAAAACUAUCAGCAGAGUUCGCCAAGCUGGGUCUUUAUCCUUCGAAGUCUGAUCCAGCGAUGUUUGUUAAGACUGACGAGCGUGGGGUUGUUAUUGCUUUGGUGCACGUAGAUGACACUAUUGUUGCGUCGGAAGACCCGGAAAUGGUCCGGGCAAUUAAAGCUGCAAUUGCGAAGGUCUUCAAGGUGCGCGACCUUGGAGAAGCGAAGGUGUUUUUGGGCAUGGAAAUUAGGAGGGAGAAGUCGGGUGAAAUAGUGUUGUCGCAGCAUAGGUAUAUUUCGCAGCUAUUGGAGCGUCAUAAGUUGGUUGACGCCAAGCCGAGGUCUACUCCUUUGCCUCCGGGCUUUAGGUACACUCCUAAGGGGGACGGAGAGGAGCUGCUGGAAAAUCCCACGGGCUUUGGUGGAGGAGUUGAAUUACCUAGCGACGAACACGCGGCCUGACAUUUCGUAUGCAUUGAGCGUUUUGUCCAGGCAUAUGGCCGCACCCACGAAGUGUGCUAUGAACUUGGCUACUGCCGUUCUGCGUUACCUGGCGGGUACUCGCGAACUAGGAUUACGUUUUGAGGGUGUUGGCGACAUUGAGAUGUCCGGGUAUAGCGAUUCUGACUGGGCAGGAGACCCAGUUACGCGGCGUUCUACUUCCGGCUACGUUUUCACUCUUAAUGGGGCUGCGAUUAGCUGGAGCAGUCAACUUCAACGUUCUGUGGCGGCUUCGUCGGUGGAGGCCGAGUAUCAAGCGACAGCGGCAGCUGUUCGCGAAGCUUUGUGGCUUCGCAAGCUGAUGGUUAAUUUGGGUAUACCUGAGAGCGCUAUCAAGGUUCAAAUAGAUUCCCAGGGGGCGCUUAGCUUAGGAAAUAACCCGAUUACGUCUGCUCGGUCGAAGCACAUCGACGUACAGCAUCACAUAGUGCGUGAGAGGGUGCAUAGCGGUGAGGUGCAGUUGGAAUACUGCCCUACGGAGUGAAUGGUUGCGGAUGUGCUCACGAAGGCUCUAGGCGAGGUGAAAUUCAAACGUUGCCGAGAUGCGAUGGGCCUUGUUUGAAGUGUACAUAUGAAUUUGGUACUCGUUGGGAUACGGCCCGAGGGGGCGUGUUGAGGAAACGGUCCUCUCCUAACUCGUGUGGUUGUGGACCAGGGGAUUUGACCCCAGGUCUGCGUCUGGCUAAUGGGGAAGACUUACCCCAGAACCUUAUGGGCUACCGAUGCAUAUCCAGUAGCUAAGUGAUAGACAUUUGGGCACCGUCAGGACGGCGCAGUGAGAUCGCGGAAUGUACGUGCAGUUAGAUCGUGGAAUGUACGAGUUUUCCGCUAGCGCCAGUAUUUAGGGCGGUGACUGCGCUUAUUUGUUAUCUCACAACGAUCGGUAUUCCUCAAAGGAAUCUUCUCAAGUCCUGCCGAACGCUAAUAAUACUCUUUACAUUACUUGUAACAUUUUAUCUUGCUAAAUAUCUUCGCUGCCGGAAAUUCUUCCGAGAUAACAAUCAGCGUUAGCCGUCACCGUCGCCAAUUCUUCAAUACUGGUAUAUAAGACACAAGUUAUGCAAGUCUUGGUAUCUCAUCUUAGGAUGGAUCGAUCAAAGAAAUCUCCUAAACUCCUCUUGCCGUUCACCAUUAAUAAUCCACAGACUUUAACCCUCGCGACCAGUCUCCUUGCCUUCAUAUUCUUAACAGGUUAUGAGACCCGGCUCACGCUAGUAGAUUACAUAGCUAGCGCGAAGAAGGCAUAGGACGCCUGCAAGCAAUGACAGUCGGACUUGUUUGGGAGUAGGACACGUUAGCAGCGAUUCUGAGCGGGCACACACUUUGCUUGUUGGUUUGCCCAGCCGCUUCAGCAUGGUAACGACAUCCCUACUGGUGCGUGACGGCGAUUCGGACAUGGCUAUCGUCAACUCGAAGUUCUUGACUAUCGAGAUGGCAAGCGGUGGCUCUGGUAAGCCUACCGAGUCGGCAGCUUUUGCUUCUGUCGGCAGUUUCUCGUUUGGCGCCUCUGGUUCUGGUCUUGGGAAUCGUGGCGCGGCCAGCAGCAGUUCUGGCGUUCCUCUCCAAGAUGUGAUUUGCUUCUAUUGCAGCAAGCCUGGCCCGGUGGGUCUAGCAAGGGAUCCGUUUUCCCGAGGCAGGUUACGUUUGUAGCUUACACCAGUAAGCGGCUGAGGGAUCCCGGUCGAAUAUGGGAAUGAGUAAGCGUCUGAGGGAUCCUGGCCGAAUAUGGGAAUGGAGGACAGUAUCGUGUGUACAUCCCCAAUGUGUGCGUUGAUGAGUUUAAUGUCGGCCGGCGGCAUAAUGCUAGGAAUUCUGAUGAUGGGUCCGAUGCCGACGAGGGUUGCACACUAGUUUGCCUGGUGAGGGGUCGCUGCCUAGGGCUGGUGAAUGGAUACAAGACAAUACCGUCGGCGAGGGACCCGGCUGGGGCAGGACCUUCUAGAAGUGUGAAUGUAAUGUAAUGUAAUGUGGAAAUGUUAAGAAUAUUCACACCCUCAUGUGGAAAUGUUAAAAAUAUUCACAUUUCACACACUACGUAGUGCUGCACGUCGAUGUGUUUCGACCGAGCAGACAUAAUCGGAUGAUUUCCCAAGCUAAGCGUGUUUAGGAAACGGUCCUCUCCCAACUCGUGUGGUUGUCGACCAGGGGAUUUGACCCCGGGUCUACGCCUGACUAAUGGGGAAGACUUACCCCAGAACCUUAUGGGGCUACCGAUGCAUAUCCGGUAGCUAAGUGAUAGACAUUAGGGCACCGUCUGGACGGCGCAGUGAGAUCGCGGAAUGUACGUGCAGUUAGAUCGCGGAAUGUACGAGUUUUCCGCUAGCGCCGGUAUUUAGGGCGGUGACUGCGCCUAUUAGUUUAUCUCACAACGAUCGGUAUUCCUACUAGGAAUCUCCUCAAGUCCUGCCGAACGCUAACAAUACUCUUUACAUUACUUGUAACAGUUUAUCGUGCUAAAUAUCUUCGCCACCGGCAAUCCUUCCGAAAUAACAAUCAGCGUUAGCCGUCGCCGUCGCCAAAUCUUCAAUAGGUUAUGAGCCCCGCUUAGCGCCGACAGUUAUCGCCCAAUUGUUAUUUCUAUCCCUCAUCAACAAUGGUUAAGGACAAGCUUGAUGAGUCGCUGGAUCUCAACAACUACUCUACCUGGCAAAUUCGGUUCAGCGCGUUGUGCAUGGAGCUUGGGCUUGAGCAAUCCCUGCUCGCCGAGCCGUGCAACGAGGAGCAAAUUCGGCAGUCACGGAAGGUCAUCAAUCUGCUCAUCAAGAACGUCAAGGAUCAUCAUUUGCCGAUGGUUACCGGUGCUGCCAACGCGAAGAAGGCCUGGGACGCCUUGGGAUCUAUGUUUGCUGCCAACAACAACGCCCGCAAGGUGUCUCUACGUCAAGAAUUCAGCCGUUUUAAGAUGGUCGACGGCGAACCUCUUCCGAUGUACUUUGCGCGUGCAAGGCAGCUGCAAACAGAUUUAUUGGGAGUCGGCCACGUAGUUAACGACUCCGAGCUGGCGUACACCGUGCUAGUUGGUCUACCCAGUCGGUACAGCGUGGUGACGACUACAUUACUUAUGCGCGACGGCGAUUUGGACAUGGCGAGCGUCACAGCAAAGCUUCUCUCUAUCGAGACGGCUAACGGUGGGUCGGGCAAGCCUACCGAGUCGGCAGCCUUCGCGUCUGUCGGCGGUUCGACGUUCGGCGCUUCUACUUCUGGUUAUGGUAGCCGGGGGCCGGCUAACAACAGCUCGGGACAUAGUCGGAAGCAAGUCAUCUGCUACUACUGUAAUAAACCUGGGCACGUGGUUAAGGACUGCAGACAGCUUAAGGCGCUGAAGCAGUCGUCAAAUUCUGGCUACAAGGGUGGCUACAGCAACAGUGGUAACGGAGGUAGUGGCAGCGGAGCUAGCGGCAGCAAGCCAGGAUCCGGUGGAUCAGCUAGGAGGCCAGGAGUUCCGCGGCAGGUAGCAUUCGUGGCAUACAACAGCAGGCAGGCGGCUGGCAGAAGUUAAGGCCUGGCUUCUGCUCCCGUCGCGUCCCGGCGCGUCCGGGUUCAAAUCCGCCUGCCGACCUCUCGGGGUGUUUGAGAGGUGAUGAAAUGGGAGGUGGCCCCCCAUCUUGUGGACGGUGUAGGACGUGAUAAAAUCAACUCGCGAGCUGACCAGGAACUAAGUUGACGCGCCGUUGAUCCGCUAGAUUUGGUUGGAUGCUGGUGGUGAGUUGCCAAACUCAAAGAGUACACUCUGAAGUCGGAUGGGGUGAAUGGCUUAGGGUGCCCCUCUAGCAGGGGAGAGCAGGGAAUUGCCUCGGGAAGGAGGCCACUGGUGAAGCUUAACCACCCUGUAACAACAUCAACAGCAAUCGUCCGACGGAA
rnacentral:lncRNA from 1 species